AUGACUGGAGCGUCUGGCUCGCGGAGAUCAACAUGGCAGUUUUCCUGUGCACCCGCAUAAAACCGUCCGCCUACUCAGAUGUGGCUGAGGGAGUGGACUGCUGCUGGUCAUCUCUAUCAGAGGUAUCUGAAAGCUCCCUAUCUGAAGAAACAUGGGUCUUGUUCUGUCGCCCAGGCUGGAGUGCAGUGGCGUUAUCUUGGCUCACAGCAACCUCUGCCUCCUGGGUUCAAGUGAUUCCCCUGCCUCAGCCUUCCGAGUAGCUGUUACUACAGGAAUGUUGAUGGACACCACUCUCCUCCCCUGGUGACAACUCUUGAUGCAUCCCUACUGUGACAAGGAAUUCGUGACUAAGAAUCUCAUGGAAUCUAAAUGCGGUCACUGAUGGAAAUUUAGGUUUCCACAAAGAGUGCAGGAAGAAAUUUACAUGGCAAAAAAAAAGAAAAGAUUUGCUCUGGCAAAUGGGAAUCCAAAAAACAGAUGAUAGACAUGUCCGUAACCAUGAUAGUGCCCAUGGGAUUUUGUAGCUAUAGAGUGAAAAGAUGACAGUGGCCAUAUCCAGGGUAAUGUCUACGGGAAUUUGUGAAUAUCCAGGUAAGAAAUGAGUGUUUCUACUUAGGAAUUGAACAUGGGAUACUGAAGUUAUAAAGGUAGGAAAUGAUGAUAAACCUAACAGUGGGGGUGAGCAUGGUGUUUUCUAGAUAUCCAGAUAAGAGAGGAUGAUGGCCCUAACUCGAGUACCAAAAUUGGAUUUCCUCAGGUAAGCACAUAGGAGCUGAAGAUGUUUCUUACCAUGUUAGUGAACAUGGCAUUUUGUGCUAUUCCAGACAUGAUGGCGAACCUAACCACAAAAUGACCAUGAGAUUGUCAGGGGUCUAGUAAAGACAUGAUGGUGCCCUUAACUGUGAAGGUUAUGACGAAAUUUGUAGGUCAGUAAUUAAGAGAUGAUGCUGAUAAUAACCACAGUAAGGAGCAGGGGAUUUUGCAAGUAACCAGGUAAGAGAUGAUGGUAUCUCUAAAAAUAUGGUGACCAUGGAAUUUUGAGGAUAUCCAAUCAAGGAAUAAUGUGUUACUAGUAAUGGUAGUACCAAGGGAUUUUACAGUUACCCUGGAAAGAAAUGAUGUGUCCCUAGCAAUGGCAUUUAAUCUGGGUAAUUUGUAGGUCUUCAUGUAUGGUAGGCUUCUCUAAAUCUGGUAGAUCUCACGGGCUUCUGUAGGCAUCCACAUGAGAGAUGACGUGACACAAAUUGCAACCAAUUGCCACCAUUGUAACCUAGGUGUUUUAUAAGUAUCCAGCUUAAAGCUGUAGCUUUAUUUAUUCCUUGGAUGUAAGACUUUCAUGUUAUCUAUUGUUUUCUUUCUUUUUGAAACAGAGUCUGGCUGAGGUAAGUGCUGAUGUGGGCCUAAACCACAGCCUGCACCGUGGGACUGUCACAGAGACACAGUUGAGUGAUGAUGUGUCCCUACAGGCCUUACCACCAUUAUUUCCUUCAUACUUAUUCAGGUGAGAAAUGAUUGAGUCUUGUCUUGGUAAGUGAUGAUGGUGAUGAUGGUGUAGGCCUCCCUGUUGUUCCCGAUUUCGCUUCAGGUGUCCCUGACAUAUUCGAAACCGUGAGUUUUCCCUCUGCAUAUUUCAGAGACAAUGCCUAACCCCGUGUUCACAGUGGAACUUUGAAUACUUGGUAAUUAUCCGGUGUUCCUUCCCACAGCAGUGACCAUGGACAUUUUGCAGGUGUCCUGUAGAGAGAAAUGCUGUCUUCUGGGACCACCGCCCUGAGCUUGGGGGCCCCCACUAGCAUUCAGGUUCCCGGGAGAAAAUCCUGAAGAACGGGGGUCAUGAGCAGGGGACGUGUCUGCUAUCUGGGUAAGUGAUUGUGUGCACCAUAAACUUACCACGGACAACCUGAUCUUCACGUUUGUAGGUCAGUGAGGUUCCUUUCCCUGAACAGUUUACCAUGUGAUGCGUUUAUGGGUAUUCCGGUAAGAAAGGGUAGUGGCUCCUCGUUCUCCUUGCCAUGUAAUCCUAUUGUUUUCUGUCUUGGAGAGAACGUAUGAGGUAAGUACCCUGUGAGUGCUGAUGGAUUGGCACGUAACCAGGGAACUCCAGUGGCACUGUGCAUCACAGGAGUAACUAAGGUGGAUGUGCAGAGAAGACGGCCAGAGAAAAUGAAGUGUCCUAUGAUGUCCUACCCCUUGGAGCAACCACAAGCAUCCAGGUAGAUUUUUGGCUCCCACAAUGAUGUUAGUGAGCAGGUGGUUUUCUGGGUCCUGGUGGAAAAGCUGUGUCUGUAGGCAGAUUGUAACACAUGUGGUUUCACAUUCCCUUCCAGAAGUCAAGGGAACCCUCAUUAUGCUCGAGCAGGGGCACUCUGCCCAUAUCCAGAGAGGAGACAGUAUGGGCGUAAGCAGGCCAUGGACGAUCCAGUCUUCCGAUACACAGUUAUUCAGUUAAGAAACAAUGCUCUGCCAACCAAGGCUAGUAAGCAUUAGUCCUUGCUGUGUUCGACUUUAGGAUAAUGUGCAUUGAACCUGAGUCCGUGUUGACUGUGGUAGAUGCGGGUGUCCAGGUGAAUUAUCCUACUCUACCAGACCACAGGAUGGAAUGAUAGUUCUGACACAUCCUCAGUCCAGAGCCGAUAGUGGCGCCAACAGUGGGGUGGACGUUGGAGUUCUGCCAGGAUCUAGGUAAGGUUGAUGGUUCCCGGAUGAUGGCAGUGACCAGCCUGUGCGGUGCGUGUCUUUUUCGUCUUUCAGGUAUGCCAAGUGGCAUCCCGGAAAACACCUGUCAGAUGCGUUUCUUCUGCUGCUGCUAGUCAUGAGAUCAAGGUGGGUCUGAGAAUGGCCAUUCAGAGGCCCUGGAUAGUAACCAGGUAAUGGAUGACACCAGUCCUAUGCCAAUACAGACCACUUGAACUUCAGAUUUCCUGGACAAAGAGGGCACUGUCCUUGACACAGUGUUUUUCCCAUGGUUUCCUGCAGGAGUCCCGUAAAGUUCUCUUCCUGUAGAGAGGUAGGAGAUGUUGUGGCAUUACCUCAUGAAAGACAUUCUGAAUUUCCUGCAUGUAGAUAGUUAAUGAUGGUUUAAGUCUGGUAGAGUAACCUUGUGUUUGGCAUAUGUGUCAUUGAGAAAAAAUAAUUAGUGAUUCCCAAUGCCAGUAAGCAUGAGAUUUUACUGUUUGCUUAUUCAGAGGUAAGGGCUUUUAUUUUUUUUUUUCGGUAAAUCUGACCCUCCACGUGAGAAACAGAUAUGCCAGUGCCCAGGUAGUUGAUCAUAUUGUCUGUCACCCCGAUGUGGACUGUGCUGUUUCUCCAGGUAUCCCUCGGAGGCUCUGGCUUAGAUAUUUUCAGUUAUCUGGGUAACCUGGAUGAGUUGCGAAACGAUACCAAUGAACAAGAGUAUUUGUGGGUGUCCUCGUAGCAUAGGUUGUGUACCAAGCAGAGUUUCCCCAAUAUGUCUUUCAGAUGAAUGUCAGGGCAUCACAGCAGGCCUUUUGAAGCUAGGUAACGUGGGGCAUUGCUGGCUGAGGUAAGUGCUGACACAGGCCUAAACCACAGCCCGCAGCAUCGUACUGUCACAGAGGCUUAUUUCAAUGAUGAUGUGCCCCUACACAUCUUCCCGCCAUGAUUUCUUUUCCAUGUAUUCAGAUGAGAAAUGAUUCCGUUUUCACCACUCCCAGAUAGGCCGGGUUUUCCCAUUUUAUAAAAGUAUAUGCUGAACCCUGUGAGUGUUGAGGGAUUGCAGGGAGCCAGGUAUUUAUCGCUGUGUUCCCCACUUCUGUGCUGCCGCUCCGAUUUCUAGAGAUGUGCAGUUGAGAAACAGUAGUUUUCUGCUGUCAGGGUCGACCUGAGAUUACUGCAACUAUACACAUCGAGUGGGUGUGUCCCAUAAAGAUGGAAAUAAACAUGGGACUUUGUGGGAGUCUUUGCAGAAAACCCCCUGUCUUUUUACACAUAUGUAUUGGUGCCUCUUUCAGAUUCCUGCUAUGACAUCACAGUGAAUCCAACAUGGGUCCCUAUCAGGAAGCAGGGCUGCUCUGCAGGUCAAGGCUGCAUGAGGACCCAAAGCAACACAUGGGCCACUUGAAGUUCAGGUGUAUAGGUAAGUGAGGAUGGUGUCCAUACUUCCUGUUGUUCCCAUGAUUUCACCUCAGGUGUCCUGGUCAGAAAUGACAAAUGUCCCUGGCACACUAGAAACCGUGAGAUUUCCCUCUGCAUAUUUCAGAGACAAUGUCUAACCCAGUGAGCACAGUGGGACUGCAAAUACCAGGUAAUGAUCUUGGGGUUCCCAGCCACAGCGAUUACGCUGGACAUUUUGCAGGUGUCUUGUAGAGAGAAAUGCUGUUUUCUGGGCCUGCAGCCCUGAGCUUAGGGGGUCCCACCAGCAUCCAAGUAAGAGUCCUUCAACGAUGGAUGCGAGCAUUGUGAUUUGCAUGUGUCCUGUUAGAACACUUUGUGUGUUUCUGAGGCAUAUAUCUCAGUGUAGGUUUUCCAGGGUCCCACAAGGAAAUCCCGAUAAACAGGAGUCAGGAUCAGGGAACACGUCUGCUAUCUGGGUAAGUGAUGGUGUUCAUGGUAAACUCACCACACACCAGGCGAUCUCCACAUACCUAGGUAAGCAAGGUUCCUUUGCCUGAAGGGUUUAUCAUGUGAUGGGUUAACAGGUAUUUUGGUAAGAAAGGGUAGCGGCUCUCCGUUCUCCUCGCCAUGUGAUCCUAUUGAUUUCUACCCUGGAAAGAAUGUAUGAUGUAUGUGGUCUGUGAGGGCUGAUUGAUUGUCACAUACCCAGGGAACUCAUGUGGCAUUGUGCAUCACAGGAGUAACUGUGGUGGAUUUGCAGGGAAACUGGCCAGGGAAAAAUAGUGUGUCCUACAAUGGCCUAGACCCUGGAGGGCCUGCAAGCAUCCAAAUACAUUUUUGACUCCCACAGUGAUUAUACUGAGCAAGGCGGUUUGCAGGAUCCUGAUGGAAAAGCUGUGUCUGUUGAGCCAUUGAUCACACUUGCAGUUUCAGGUUCAGGCAGGCAGAAGUCAGAGCAUGAGGACAACAUUGAGGUCUCUCCAGGCGAUUUAUGGACUCUCGGAUUUGGUAGUGAUUCAGGUACGAGAUGAUCAUGGCUCUCAUCAUUGUAGUGACCAUGGUAUUUUGAAGGAAUGCAAAAACAGAUGAUGGGCCCGUCCCUGACCAUGGUAGUGCCCAUGGGAUUUUUUAGCUAUAGAAUGAAAAGAUGACAAUGACCAUCUCCAUGGUAAUGUCUGAAAUUUUUAAAAUAUCCAGGUAACAAAUGAAUGUUUCUGCUUAGGAAGUGAACAUAGAAUACUGAAGUUACAGAGUUAAGAAAUGAUGAUAAACUUCACCAUGGGGGUGACCAUGAUAUUUUCUAGAUAUCGAGAUAAGUGAGGAUGGUGACCCUAACUUGACUACCAAAAUUGAGUUUGCUCAGGUAGGCAUGAAGGAGCUGAUGAUGCCGCUUCCCAUGUUAGUGAAUAUGACAUUUUGUGGUAUUCCAGAUAUGAUGGCGAACCUAAUCACAAAAUAACCAUGAGAUCAUGAGAUUGUCAGGGGUCUAGUAAAAAGAUGGUGGUCCCCUUAACCAUGAAAGUUAUGAUGAAAUUUUGUAAGCCAGUAAUUAAGAGAUCACAGAGAUCCUAACCGUGAUACUGAACAAGGAAUUUUGCAAAUCACCAGGUAAGAGAUGAUUGUGUCUCUAAAAAUGUGGUGACCGUGGGAUUUUGCAGAUAUCCAAUUAAGGAAUAAUGUGUUCCUAGAAAUUGUAGUACCAAGGUAUUCAGCAGUUACCCAGGAAAGAAAUGGUAUGUCCCUAGCAAUGGCAUUUAAUCUGGGUAAUUUGUAGGUCUCCAUGUAUGGUAGGUUUUUCUAAAUCUGAUAGAUCUCAUGGGCUUCUGUAGGCAUCCGCAUGAGAGAUGAUAUGUCAUAAAUUGUAAGUAACUGCCACUACCGUAACCAAAGUAUUUUAUAAGUGUCCAGCUAAGAGCUCUGGCUUUAUGUAUUUGUUGGAUUUAUGACCAUUUUUUUCUGUGUUUUCAUAGUUUUUUUUCUUUUUUUGAGAGUCUGGCUGAGGUAUUGCUGAUGCACGCAUAAACCACAGCAUGCACCAUGGGACUGUCCCAGGGACCUGGUUCACUGAUGAGAUGUCCCCACACGUCUUCCCGCCGUGAUUUCUUUCACAGGUACUCAGCUGAGAAAUGAUUGAGUCCUUACCAAUCCCAGAUUGGCCAGGUUUUCCCAUUUUCUGUUUCAACAAAAGUGUAUGCUGAAACCUGUGAGUGUAGAGGGAUUGCAGGGAGUCAGGUAUUUAUCACUGUAUUCCCCGCCCCCGUGCUGCCCCUAGGAUGUCUACAGGUGAACAGUCGAGAAACGGUGGUUUUCUGCUAUCAGGGUCGACCUGAGAUUACUGCAAGUAUCCAGGUCGAGUGGGUGUGUCCCCAAAAGAUGGAAAUCAAGGUUAUUUGUAGGAGUGCUGGUGGAAAACCCCAUGUCCUUCUACACAUGUGUCUUCUACACAUCUGAUUUUGCAAGCUGCCAGAGAAGAUAUGAUGGUGUCUCUAAAAAUGUCUAAACAUGUGGUGACCACGGGAUUUUGCAGAUAACCAGUUAAGUAAUAAUGUGUCACUAGAAAUGGUAGUCCCAAGGUAUUUAACAGUUUUUCAGUCACCCAGGAAAGAAAUGAUGUGUCCUUAGCAAUGGCAUUUAAUUUGGUUAAUUUGUAGGUCUCCAUGUCUGGUAGGUAUUUCUAUAUCUGGUUGAUCUCCUGGGCUUCUGUAGGCAUCCACAUGAGAGAUGAUGUGUCACAAAUUGUAACCAAGUGCCAAGGUAUUUUACAAGUAUCUCACUUAAAGCUCUGGUGAAUAUAAGUUUUUGAAGAUACCCAGUAGGGAAUGAUGUUGGCCUAAGCCGUGGUAAUGCCCACGAGUAGUGCCCAUAUCUUGGUAACAGGUGGUGUGUGUCUAAUUAUGGUUGUCACCAUGGUUUUUUUGCAAAUUCCAGCAACAUAAUGAAGACAAUCUUAACCGCUCUUAUGAAUAUAGGAUUUCGCAAGAAUUGAGGAAAGAAAUAAUGUGGGCUUUAACCAAGUAGACAUGAUUAGAUUUUGGGGAUUUCUAAAUAAGUGAUCACGGUGUCCCUAACCAUGGGAUUUUGCAGGUUGUAGUCAAUAGGUGAUGAUGAAUUUAACAGUAGGCGCAAACAUGGGAUUUCUUGAUACCCAGGUAAGACAUGAUGUGGUCCUUAAACAUAUUACAGACCAUAUGAUUUUUUAGAUACCUAGAUAAGCAAUAAUAUAUCCUGAAAUCUUGAUGUUACCUUUUUUUUUUCCCAUUUAAAAAGUCGCUCAUUCUCAAAUAUUUGUGCAGGGCUGAUUUCAGAGUAUAAGAAUGCACCAGCGGUUGGCCCAGUGACUCACGCUUUAAUCCCUACACUUUCGGAGGCCGAGGCGGGCAGAUCACUUUAGGUCAGGAGUUCGAGACCAGCCUGGCCAACAUAGUGAAACCCUGUCUCUACUAAAAGUACAAAAUUUAGCCGGGCGUCCUUGUACAUGCCUGUAGUCCCAGCUAGUCGGGAGGCUGAGGCACGAGAAUCACUUGAACCCAGAAGGCAGAUGUUGCAGUGAGCCGAGGUUGGGCCACUGCAGUCCAGACUGGGCGACAGAGCGUCUUUGCCCCCAUCACCCCACCCCCAAACAAAGAAAGAGUAAUGCACCAGAGUCAUGAAAUAAUGAUCUUACCACAGAGGGCGUAAAAAACAAAACCUCAGAAAAUAUUACCAUAUUUCGAAAGACUUGUGGAAAAUAAUUAAGGACCAGGUAGCAGAAAUUGUGAUCAGAGGAAAUAACAUAAGAAUAUACUUAAGCGCACAGUACAUAGUUGGAGGGAGAACUGUUUAUCCUUCUAAAACCGUUACUAUGAUCAACACAGACAAGAGACACUUCCCUGAAAGGUUAAAUUGUUUCAUGAGAAAUAAAAGCAACCAAAAUGAGCCACAUUAUCUACAAUAGAAGAGACUAUAUGGAAAAAGUUCUAUGGCAAGAGCUAAUUCGUUGGUAUACAAAAAGAUCCAUGAAAAAUGACCCAAUUUUAGACACAUUAGAUAUUGCAGGCUCAAAAAUCAAAGGAACAUUUUGAAAGCUAAUUUAAAUUUAAUUAAUUGCUGAAUGUCUCCUUGGCUAGUAGUUGAACGAUCAUUAUUUAGUCCCACAUCUCUCUCGUCAUUUUGUUUGCAAACUGUCUAAAAGCCUUAUUUCCUCAUCUCUUUGACAGAUGACCAAAAUGGAUCCUACAGUAUAAUCACACAGGAUAAUGUUGGAAAGUAUGACUAUCUAAAUUAUUUUUAAAGGCAUUAUUUUUCCCCUUUGAUUUUCAAAUUCUUUCUCAUAAUUUCUAAAAUGGUGUCGACAGCGGCCUGUACUGUGCCUUCACUGAUGUCAUCACUGAGAUCACUCUCAAUUGCUCUCGAACUUGUUGUUGGCCUUUCGUGUAGGUAUGAACUGUGGCCCGGCAGAUCUGACUGUUGUUGCUGCUGCUUCUGUUCCUGCUGAUGCUUUUCAAAAUAGUCUUCUUUUAUUUUCUUCGGCUGUUCUGAAGCAGGAGUUACACAUGAUGUCUUUGGAAGAUCUUGCGAUGUGUUUCCGGAACUACCUUGCAUGCUUAACUCAAUAGUACUGCGGAGAUGUUCAUCUUCUCUAUUGGUUUCUUGGCGGCUUAGUUCAAGGGCCCUCUGAAAAUCCUCCUCAUCUUGGUCUGAUGUUCCAGACUCAUCACUUUCUUCUGAUACUUUUUCAAGGACUGUUUUAUAGACUCUAUGCUCUUUUUGUUUUACUAAUUUUUUUCCAUUAAGUUUUGGUGUAUCCAUCUCUUCGACACUGAUGAUCUGCAGGAGUUGGUCAGCUUCACAGUCUGGCAGAUCACCCUUGACAACAAAUACAGAAUAUGCUUGUUGUUGUAAUCGAGCCAAGAAAUUUGCAAGGCAUGUAUCUGAUAUUAAUUCUGGACCCGCCAAGAGAGAAUUCAAGUUAAACCAGUGUUUUCCAAAUUUUCUAAUAGUAAACCAGUGUUGUUUAUAAUUACAUAUAAAAGAUCUUUCAUUUAUAGGAUCAAUGCCGAGCUUCUGAUAUUCAGGAUUAUUGAAAUGGAUGAUCUCUAAACCCCAGAACUUCAAGGCAUUGCUUAUUACCUGAAUGGAGAAGAAACCGGUAUCAUCCAUGUUUUCUGAAGGCUGCUGUAAAAAUGCAAGAUACUCUUCACUGGUGACUCCUCCUUCUGCCAUUCUCAUCCUCUCUUCUUCAUCUAGCUGAUGUGCAAUUGAGGCUAAUUCCACAGGGCUAAAAUAUUCUCCUUGCAAUAGAUUGUUCAGACAGUGCUGAGCACACAGGAAACCUUCCUGUUUCUCAUGAAAGAUGAAAUCCAUGUUAAUUGUAUCCGUGAGUUUCUGUAGGUAUGCCGGAAGAUGUUGUAUGCCCAGCUAUGGCAGUUACCUGGGCAGUUUGUGGAUAGCCAUGUAACAGAUGUUAGGUUUUCAAACCUUAUGAAGACCAUGGGUUUUUGCAGGUAUUCAGGUAAGAGAUGGUAUGUCACAAAGCACUAUUGUGACCAAGGUGGUUUUGCCAGUAUCCAGUCAAAAGCUGAUGGUAAACCUAAAGUGAAUAUGGGAUUUUGGAGUUAUCCCAUAGAUGAUAAUGGUGACUUGCACCAUAGUAGUGCCCGUUGGAAUUUCAGAUGUCCUAUAAAAAUAAUGUCUCUCUAAUUAUGCUUGUCAGCAUGGUUUUAGUAAGUAAAUAAAGGUGAAAUUUACCACAGCACUAAACAGAAGAUUUGGCAGGUAACUGGGAGAGAAAUAACAUGGGCUUUAACCGAAUGGACACCAUGGGAUUUUGGAACUGUCUGGCUAAGUUAUCAUGAUGUCACUGACCACAAUAAUAGCCAUAGAAUUUUGUAGGUUCCAGUCAAUAGAUGACAAUAAAACUCACAGUGGCAAUGAAGAUGGGACUUUGCUGGUAUCCUAGUUAGAGAUUAUGUGGACCUGAAAAACAUGAGUGACCAAAUGAUCUUCAGACAUCUAGAAAACUGAUGAUGAUGUCCUGAACUCUUUUCUUAUCCAUGUGUUUUUACAGGUGUUCAGGUAAGAAAUGUAUGUGCCUAACAAAAGUAGUAACCAUUAGAUUUUACUGUUUUCUAGUUCAGAGACAAUCUUUCUCAAACUUAGUAGUGACAAAGAUAUUAGCAGGUAUCCGGGUAAGAUAUCACAGAGUUCCUCACCACAGUAGUAACUAUGGGAUUUUUGCAGGAGUCCAGUGAACAGACAGUGUGUGAAACUACUAUGUUGACCUUGGACUUCUCUUGAGUGUCCAAGUACACUUAGUGGUUGCCCUAAUGAUUAUAGUGAGUGUAUGCAUGGAAUUAUCAGGGGUCCAGAUGGAAGGACAUGUAUCCUGACCAGGGUUGCCACCAUAUGUUUUCUCAGCAGGUAGUCAAGAGAUGAUGGUGUCUCUAACUACAACAUUGGCCUCAGAACCUUAAGAUUCAGGUAGAGUUCAUGGUUCCCCUAACAAUACUAGUCACCAUGGGAUUUUUUGAGGUGCGUAUAGAAGAUGUAUCCCUAACCACUACUGCUGCCAUAUGGUUUUGCAAGCUCCUAUCAAGAGAUAAUGGUGAAACUCAUAUUAGUCAUUUUUGUAGGAAUUUCAUGGAAUCUAGCUAAGUGAUUAUGUGGACCUUAAACACAGUACAGACCAUCUGCUCUUCAGACAUCGAGGUAAGUGACGAUGAUGUCCUCAACAUGUGUUGGUAUCAUGUGUUUUGCAGGUAUUCGGGUAAAAAAAAAUGAUACGGGCUCUACCAAUAAGUAUUGGAAUCCAUGAGCUUUAGCUUAACCAGUUUUCUAGUUUAGAGAUAUUGUGUGUUUAACUUUAGGAGUGAAUGAGGGAUUUUCAGGUAUCUAGGCAAGUGAUCAUAACUUUCUUCACCACAGUAAUGACCUUGAGAUUUUUAUAGAUGCCCAGACAAUAAAUGACGGUGCCUGUACCAAUGUGUUGACCUUCAGGUUCUGCCAAUAUCCAGGUAGCAUUAAUGGGUUUGUAAAGAUGGAAGUGACAAAAGUUAUUUGCAGAUGUUCUGCUAGAAAAAGUUGCAUUCUUAAACACAUCUGUCACAAUAUGUUUUUUCAGGUUUCAGUCUAAAGAUCAAGGUAACCCUAACAACGGGGAUUAACAUGGAGCUUUGCUGGUAUCCAGGCAAGUGAUGAUGUGGGUCUUAUCACACGGUAGACAUUGUGACCUUCAGAAGUUUACAUAAGUGAUGAUGAUACCUCUAACAUUUGUGUUACCGUGUUUUUUUGGGUUUUUGCAGAUAUUCAGGUAAGAAAUUAUAGUGUUCCCAUAAUUCCUAUUUAAUAAUACACCCUUGCUGCUUACUAGUGCAGAGAUAAUGUUUUGAAAUCUGGCUAUGACUGAGGGAUUUGUAAGUUUCCAAGUAAAUUAUCGUACUGUUUCUCAUCUCAGUAUUGACUAUGGUAUUUUUACAGGUACCCAGUCAAGAGAUUAUGACAUAUCCAUGGUUUUGACCUGGAUAUUCUGCAAGUAUCAAGGUGCUGUCAGUGGAUGGUGGUGAAACUAACAAUGAUAGUGAACAUGGACUUAGCUAAAAGAGAGGGAAAAGAUGGUGUGAGCCUUUACACUUUGGAGAGCUUCAGAUUUCAGUUAUCUCGGUAAGCGUUGAUGGUGCCUGUAAUACUGUGGUUACAAGAAUGUUGUUUUUAUCAAGAGGCAUUCAGGUAAGGUCAGUGCUAAUAUAAAGGUGAGAAACCAUGUGGCAUUUAUACACUAGAGACCUGAAUUUCAGAUAUCUGGGAAAUUGAUGAUGGUGAUCAUAACUGUAAUAGUUACCUGGUUUGGUACAGGUUUGCAGGGAAGAAAUGAACUUGCUCCCCUAGUAAGAGUAAGCAUGAGAUUUAAAAAAAAAUUUUAGUGACAAUUUGUACUUAACCCUAGUAGCAGUUGAGAAACCUGCAGGUAUCCAGGUAAGAUAUCACACUGUCUGUCACCCCACUAGUGACCAUGGGAUUUUUGCAGGUAUUUCUUCAAAGGAGAGAGGUGUCUUUAUUAGGGUUUAACUUCACACCUCUGGAACUAUCGAUGUAGCAUUGAUGAGUCACAAAAAGAAGUGAUCAAGGGUAUUUGCAGGUGUCCAGGUAUUAUAAGAGGUGUAUGCUUUUCAGGUUCCUUUCAUGAGAUUAUAGUGAGCUUAACAAUGGCCAUUAAUGGUGGACAUUAUGAGUAUGUGGUAAGUGAUGAGGUGUGCUUAAUGCACAGCUGAAAAUAUUUGACCUUGGCAUAAGAAGGUAAGUGAUGAAAGUGCCCCUAACGGUUGUUACAAUGUUUGCUCGCUUGUUUGUUUUGAAGAUAUUGAGAUAAGAAACCAUAGUCCUUACCAGUGUUAGGAACCAUGAGUUCUUAGUUUUACAUAUUUUAGAAAAUGUAUUGUUAACCCCAUGGGCACUGAGUCAUUGCCAUAUCCAGAUAAUUUUCAUGGUGUUCCUCACCACAGUAGUAACCAUGGGAUUUUUGCAGACAUCCAGUCAAGAAACAGUGGCUUCAUCUGGCAACAUUGUUCACCUUGAGUAGUGCAAAUGUCCAGCUAGAGUGUAUAUGUCCCAUAAUGAUGGAAGUGACAAAAGUUAUUUGCAAGCAUCAUGCUUAAAAAAGUGUCUUUUCACACAUAUUUCAAAACAUGUUUUUCAAAUUCCUGUCAAGAGAUGGUGGUGAACCUAACAAUGGUUGUUAACAUGGUAGGUGUUGAUGUGGGUCUUUCACACUACAGAACAUCUAAUCUGCACAUACCUAGGUCAGUGAUGAUGGUGUCCCUAGUACUUGUAUUACCAUGUUUUUAUUUUCAGCUAUCAGGCAAGGGCUUUACUAGUAUAGAGGUAAGAACUAAUACGACUUUUAUGUAGUAGAGACCUUCCUAUUUUGAGAUAUCCUGGUAAUUAACAGUGGUGCUGAGAACUCUGAUACUAAUCUUGUUUUUUGGCUGGUUUGCAUAGAGGAAAUUAGUUUUGUCUAACAGUAUAAAUAAGCAUGAGAUUUUACUUUAUUGUUAUGUAGAGCUAAUGUGUAUUUAAUAAUCCUAGUGUUAGAUGGACAUGUAGGUAUCCAGCUAAUUUAUCCUAUUUUUCAUCACCACAUAAUGACCAUGGGAUUUCUGCAGGUAUCCAUGUAAGAGAGGAAAGUGUCUCUUACUAGAUUUUGACAUUGGAGUUCUGCAAAUGUUCAAGUAAUGUUGAUGGGUCCCAAAAUGACAGAAAUGACCAGGGGAAUGUGCAGGUGACCAGGUAUAAUCAGAUGUAUAUCAAAUAUAACAUUUUUCGUAAUGUGUUUUUCAGGAUUCUGUCAGGAGAUUAUGGUGAGCCCAACAGUGGUAGUUGAUGUGGGACACUGCUGGAAUAUAGGUAACUGAUGUGGUAAGUUUAAAUCACAGCAAGUCUACUUGAUUUUCCUAUAUCUAGGUAAGUGAUUAAUGAUGUCCCAAAUACUUGUUACUGUGUUUGUUUCUUUUUUCUUUAUGUAUUCAGUGAUGAAAAGUUCUUACUAGUAAUAGAACCCAUGAGUUCUUUCUUUUUACCUUUUAGGGAAAAUUUCUUUAACUUUGUGAGUAUUGAGGGAUUGUCACAGUAAUUACCAUUGUGUUUCCCACUGCAUUCGUAAUCAUGGGAUCUUUGCAGUUAUCCAGUCAAGAAAUUAUGGUCUUAUCUGAAAUGGUGUUUACCUUGAUGUACUACAAAUAUUCAAGUAGAGAUGAUGUGUCCAGUAAUAUUGGAAGUAACUAAGGUUAGUUGACAGCAUCCUCAUAGAAAAUAAAUUGUGUCCUUUAACAUGUAUUUUCUAAAGUGUUUUUCAUGUUCCUGUCAAGAGAGCAUGGGGAACCUAAAGACGGUGGUUAACAUGGGACGUUGCUGGUGUCCAGGUAAGUGAUGAUGUGAGCCAUAGUGGUAUUGUUGGCUUCUACUUAGUGUUGUCAGCUUUUGUUUUUUUUUAAAGUAUUCAAGUACGAAAUGAUAAUCUCGUUACUGUUACUAUUAACUAUGUUGUUUGUUUUAUAUAUUAAUGUAAACUUAUGUUUAGCCUAGUGAGUGUUGGAUUUGCAGAAAUCUAAGUAAUUCUUAUGAUGUCCUGCUUGUCAGAUGUAACCCCGGGACUUCUGGAAGUGUGCAGUGAACAGAAAGUGUUUUCACUAACAGUAGUGCAGACCAUAGAAUACUACAAGUAAUCAGGUAGAAUUGAUGGGUCCUGCAAUGGAGGAAGCCACCAACUUUGUCCAUAGCUGUUCAGGAGGAAAAAAUUGUGUGCAUAGGAACAUUUGUAAAAAUUUGUUCUUCAGGUUUCAGUCCAGAGAACAUGAUGAACUUCAAAAUGGUCAUUCACAGGGAUUCACCUGGUGCCCAGGUAAGUGCUGAUGUGAGCCUAAACCACAGUACAGGCCAUCUGAUCUUAGGCCAUCUGAUCUUCAUGUAUAUAGGUAAUGAUGGUGUCACAUUUUUUUGACUAUGUGUUUAUCGCAACUAUUCAGCUAAGCAUGAGAUAGCCCUUAACAAUAUGAGGAACCAUGAAUUUUCACUUUUUUAUUCUGUAGAGAAUGUAUGCUCAACCCUUUUAGUGAUGAAGAACUGCACAUGUCUAGAUAACUAUCGUGGUGCUCCUCCUCCACUAGUAGCCAUGGGAAUUUUGAGAUUAUAGUCAGGAAAUGAUGUUUUUAUCUGGCAACAGCACUUCCUUGGAGUACUUCAGAUAUUCAGAUGCCUAUCCAGAGAUCACAAAGGACCUAAAUAUGUUUGUUAACAGGAGACGUUGCUGGUGUCCAGAUAUGUCUUCAAGAGAUGAAGGAGUUUCUUACCUUGGUUUGAACUUGGAAUUCAGCAGGCAUCCAGGUAGCAUGGAUGGGUCCUGAAAUGAUACAGGUGACCAAAGGACUUUGCAGGUGUUCAGGUAUCUGAAGAUACUUACCAAGCACAUUUUCCACAAUACCAGAUGCAUUUUCCACAAUGUGUUUUUCAGAUCCAAGUCAAGACAUCAUAGUGAGUCUGUGAAAGGUAAUCAGGGAGUCUGUGAAAGAUGGGAUGUUGCCGGUAUCAAGGCAAGAGAUGGUGUGGGACAAAAGCACAGCACAGCACAGCCCAUCUGAUCAUCAUGUGCAUAGGUAAGUGAUGACAGCGCCCCAAGCACUUCUUUAUUGCCUUUUCCAUGAUUUUUUGGCAGGGGUUCAGGAAAAAAAUCAUAGAACCUGUAUCAAUUCUAGAAACCGUGAGUCUUUACUUUUCAUAUAUUAGGGAACAUGUAUGGCAGACUCUUUGAGUUUGAGGGAUUGCAUGUAUCCAGGCAAUGAUCAUGGUGAUUUUCACUACAGUAGAAACCACGUAAUUUUUUAGGCUUCCUCUCAAGAAAUGAUAGUUUGAUAUGACAACAGUGUUGUCCUUGGAAUACUGCAAAUGUCCAGGUACAGAUGAUUUGUCUCAUAAGGACGGAACUCUGCAAGGUUAUUUGCAAGUGUCCUCCUGGAAAACAUGGCAUCCUUUAACACAUAUUCACAUUGUGUUUCAGGUUCCUGUGAACUGAUUGUUAUGAAACUAAAAGUGGAUGUUAAUAAAAACAUUUCUGCUCUAAGUAAGUGAUGAUGCACACCCUAACCAAUCAUGAAUCAUCUGAUUUUUAUAUAUCUAGGUAAGUUUUACCAUUUGAUUUUUGGUACGUAGUCAGGCAAAACAUGAUAGCAUUUUAUUAAUUCUAGCAGACGUGUUAAUCCAGAGUUUGUAUUUCACAGAAAAUUUACAUUUAACCAGGUGAGUGGUCAAUGAUUUCCAUGUGUCCUUGAAAAUAUCUUGUGGCUCCCCAUCAGGGUAGCAACCAUGGGAUAUUAUCAGCUGUGCAGUUAUCACCACCCAUGAUGGUGUCUCUAACAAAGAUAUGUUGACCUUGAAUUGAAGCAAGUAUCUAGGUAGAGUUGAUGUGUAUUCCAAAAUAAUGGAAGCAUACAAGGUUGUAGGCAAGUGCCCGGGGAGAACAAGUUGUGACCUUAAACACAUUUGUCUUAUAUGAUGUUUCAGGUUCUUGUCAAAACUAUGAGGUGAAUCACAUAAUGCUCAGUAAUGAAACAUUGCUUGUAAACAGGUAGUGAUAACUGUUUGCGUCCUGUAAUGGGGGUAAUUACACAAUGCAGAGCGUUGGAUUUUCUAGGUAGGUAAAAAGGGAUCCCUAAUGCUUAAGCUACUGUGUAUUUUGUAGGUAAUCCAUUCAGGUUUUUGGGCUAGUAUACAGCUACCAGAUAAGGUUGUAUUAACAUGUAAAACACCUUGGUAUUUUCGGAUAUCAACUUUAUUAAUGUUUUACACAAUAUUAACUUAAACUUGUUUUUCACAUUUAUGCAGUUAAAAAUAAAUAUGCCUCUAGUAAUACAAAUAAUCAAGAGAAUUUAUUGCAUGUCUUGACAGAUAAUGAGUAUUGAACACUUACAGAGCUACACAAAUCCACAGGCAUCUGGAUUAACAGUAUUGUCCAAAACCAUGAAAUUAACAACUGGAAUUAUGCAGGGAUCUAAUCAAGAAAGUACAAGGAUUCUUAAAAGGCGUUUUCCUCAAAUUUCUACAAGUAUUGAGGUACCUUUGAUGAUUACAAAAAUAAUAAAAGGGACCAGAAAAGAUUGGAGGUAUAUAGGUAGAAUGAUACGUGUACCAGUCACACUGUUCACAAUAUAUAUUUCAGAUUUACAUUAACAUAUCGCAGCAAGCCUGUCAAAGCUAGGUAACAUGGGACAUUGCUGGCAGAGGUAAGUGCUGAUGCGGGCCUUAACUACAGCCCGCAGCGUGGGACUGUCACAGAGACUAGUUCAGUGAUGAUGUGUCCCUAAACGUCAUCCCGCCAUGAUUUUUUCCCAGGUAUUCAGGUGAGAAAUGAUUGAGUCUUAACCAAUCUCAGAUAGGCUAGGUUUUCUAAUUUUCUCUUUCACCGAAAGUGUAUGCUGACCCUGUGAGUGUUGAGGGAUUGCAAGUAACCAGGUAUUUAUCACUGUAUUACCCACCCCCAUACUGCCCCUGGGAUUUGUGGAAGUGUCCAGUUGUGAAACGGUGGUUUUCUGCUAUCAGGGUCGACCUAGGAUUACUGCAAGUAUCCAGGUCGAGUGGUGUGUCCCAUAAAGCUGGAAGAACUCAAGGUUCUUUGCAGGAGUCCUGGUGGAAAACCCUGUGUCCUUCUACGUAUAUGUUUUCAUGCCUAUUUCAGCCCCUGACCGUGACAUCACAAUGAGUAUGAUACAGGUCUGGAGGUCAGCACUGAUGAGGACUGAAAGCAACGCACGGGCCACGUAAGGUUCAGCAGUCUAGGAAAGUGAUGAUGGUGUCCAUCCUUCCUGUUGUUCCCAUGAUUUCACUUCAGUUGUCCUAGGAAAAAAUGGUAAGACUCCCUGGCAUAGUAAACUGUGAGUUUUCCCUCUGCAUAUUUCAGAGACAAUGACUAACCCUGUGAGUGCAGUGGGACAGCAAAUACCAGGUAAUGAUCUGGCUUUCCCAGCCACAGCAGUGACCGUAGACAUUUUGCAGGUGUCCUGUAGAGAGAAAUGCUGUCUUCUGGGACCACGGCCCUGAGCUUGGGGACCCUGUCAGCAUCCAGGUUCCCGGGAGGAAAUCCUAACUAACCAGAGACACAAUCAGGGGACGUGUCUGCUAUCUGGGUAAGUGAUGGUAUGUGCUGUAAACUCAACACAGACCAUUUGAUCUUAAUGUAUUAGGUCAGUGAGGUUCCUUUCCCUGAACGGUUUACCAUGUGAUGGGUUUAUGGGUGUUCUGGUAAGAAAGGGUAGUAGCUCCCCGUUCUCAUUGCCAUGUGAUCCUGUUGUUUUCAGUCCAGGAGAGAACGUAUGAGGUAUGUACCCUGUGAGUGCUGAUUGAUUGGCACGUGCCCAGGGAAUUCACAUGGCACUGUGCAUCACAGGAGUAACCAUGGUGGCUUUGCAGAGAAGCGGGCCAGAGAAAAUAGCAUGUCCUGCAAUGGCCUAGACCUUGGAGGACCUGCAAACAUCCAGGUACAAUUUUGGCUCCCACAACGAUGAUCGUGAGCAGGCGGUUUUCAUGGUCCUAGUGGAAAUGCUGUGUCCAUAGACACAUUGGUCACAUAUGUGGUUUUAGGUUCCCGUGGAAAGGUCACAGGAAACCUCUUCGUGCUUGAGCGGAGGACUGUGCCUGUAUUUAGGUGGGUGAUGGCGUGGGCCUAAGCAGGCCACGGACUAUCCGAUCUUCCCAUACACAGGUAAAUGCAGAUGGCUUUCUGGCUCUUGUCCCUGUCCUGCCAUGGGUUCCUCGGCUCAUUUUCUGUUCUUUAUUUUCUGCAGUUAUUCAGUUAAGAAACGAUGCUUUGCCAACCAAGACUGGUAAGCAUUAGUCCUUGCUAUGUUCAACUUUAGGAAAAUGUGCCUUGAACCUGAGUCCGUGUUGACUGAGGGAGAUGUGGGUGUCCAGGUAAAUUAUCCUACUCUACCAGACCACAGGAUGGAAUGAUAGUUCUGACACAUCCUCAGUCCAGAGUCAAUAAUGGUGCCAGCAGUGGGGUGGAAGUUGGAGUUCUGCCAGGAUCUAGGUAAGGCCGAUGGUUCCCAGAUGAUGGCAGUGACCAGGCUGUGUAGUGCAUAUCUUUUUCGUCUUUCAGGUACGCCAAGUGGCAUCCCGGAAAACACCUGUCAGAUGCAUUUCUUCUGCUGCUGCUAGUCAUGAGAUCAAGGCCAGCCUGAGAACGGCCAUUCAGGGGCCCUGGAUUGUAACUGGUUAAUUGAUCACAUGAGUCCUAUGCCAGUACAGACCACCUGAACUUCAGAUUUCCUGGACAAAGAGGGCACUCUCCUUGACACACUGUUUUUCCCAUGGUUUCCUGCAGGAGUCCCGUAAAGUUCUCUUCCUGUAGAGAGGUAGGAGAUGUUGUGACAUUAUCUCGUGAAAGACAUUUUGUGUUUCCUGCAUGUAGAUAAAAUUAAUGACGGUUUUGAGUCUGGUAGAGUAACCUUGUGUUUGGCAUAUGUGUCAUUGGGAAAAAAUAAUUAGUGAUUCCCAAUGCCAGUAAGCAUGAGAUUUUACUGUUUGCUUAUUCAGAGGUAAGGCUUUGUUUGUUUGUUUUUUGCAAAUUUCACACUCCACGCAAUAGACAGAUAUGCCAAUGCCCAGGUAGUUGAUCAUAUUGUCUGUCACCCAGAUGUGGACUGUGGUGUUUCUGCAGGUAUCCCUUGUAGACUGUAGCCUCAGAGUUCUUCUGUUAUCCAGGUAGCCUUGAUGAGUCGUGAAAUGAUGCCAGUGAACAAGAGUAUUUGUGAUUGUCCUUGUAGCAUAGGUUGUGGACCAAGCAGUUUCCAUAAUAUGUCUUUCAGAUGUGUGUCAGGGCAUCACAGCAGGCCUUUCAAUCCUAGGUAAUGUGGGACAUUGCUGGGUGAGGUAAGUGCCACAGCCUGCAGUGUGGGACUGUUACAGAGACCUAGUUCUGUGAUGAUGUGUCCCUACAUGUCUUCCCAUCGUGAUUUCUUUCCCAGGUAUUUGGGAGAGAAAUGAUUGAGUCCUUACCAAUCCCAGGAUUUCUCCUGGUGUCCAGUCAAGAAAUAAUGGAUUUCUGCAUAGAUUUUGACCGUGUAUCACUGAAGUUGUGCAGAUAUUCCGAUAAGAAAUGUAGAGUCCUGGCUGAGCGCAGUGGCCCACGCCUGUAAUCCUGGCACUUUGGGAGGCCGAGGCUGGUGGAUCACAAGAUUCCUGGAAGAAAUCCCAAUGAACAGGGGUCAUUAUCAGGCCACAUUUCUGGUAUCUGUGGUAAGUAAUGAUGUUCACUUUAACCCCAUCACAGACCAUUUGAUCUUCAUAUAUCUAGGUAAGUGAUGUCUGUUUACGUGAACUGUUUAUCAUGUGCUUUUAUAACAGUGAUUUUUGUAAGUAAUGACAGUAUUUCUAGUUCUAGUGACCAUGUUAUAUUGUUUUUAAUUUAGAGAAAACUUAUGGUUUACGCUGUGAGUAUCAAAUGAUUUGCGUGUACACAGAUAACAACGUGGUGUGCUUCAUAGUAGUAACUGUGGUAUCCUUGCAGAUAGGUAGUCAAGAAAAAAUGGUGUGUCCUUCAAGGUUGUAGACCUUGGGAAUACUGCAAAAUUCCAUGUAGAUUUAUGUCUUCUGCAAUGAUGACAGCCAACAAGUUAUUUGCAGGGUUCUGGUGGAAGAGUUGUGUCCACAGACACAUUUGUCAUAAUGUGGUUUCAGGUUCCUCUCAAGGGGUCAUGGGAAACCUCAUCAUGAUCAACAAUGGGACAUUGCUGGUAUCCAAGCCAAUUAUGAUGUGGGCCUUAAACACCCUACAAAAAUGUGAUCUACAGAAAUGUAGGUAACUGUAGAUGGUUUUCCUAAUUUUUGUGUUGCCAUAUUUUGUGCAGGUAUUUAGUUAAGGAAUUAUAUUUUCCCAACCAACGCAGGUAAGCAUCAGUCAUUAUUUUAGAGUUUAGUUAUAAUGUGUUUAGUCUUAUAGUGAGGGAGGGAUAUGCAGGUAUCCAGGUAAGUUUUCCUACUGUUUCCCACCACGUUAUUGACCAUGAGACUUCAACAUCAUCAAGAGAUGAUGGUGCCACUACAUUGUUGACAUUGAAGUCAUGGCAAAUCCAAGUAGUGUUGAAGGUUCCCUGCUGAUGGAAGUGCCCAGAAUUAUUUGUGUCUUGUCUUUUUUUAUGUAAAACAAAUUGUUUCCUUAAACACACUUGAGCAAUGUGUUUUUUAGUUUUCUGUAAUGAGCUCACAAUCAAGCUUAACAAUAGUCAUUAAUGGAACCGUGCUGUAACCUGCUAAUUGAGAAAGUGUGUUUCCCACAAUCAGACCAUUAGAUCUUUAUAUUUCCAUGUAAGUGAGGAUGGUGUCCUUAACACUUGUCUACCAUGUAUUCCUGCAGGUAUCCUGUUAAGUUCUUUCCUAGUAUACAGGUAGAAGAUUAUGUGAUAUUAACACAUUAGCAACCUUCCUAUUUUCAGAUAUGUAGGUGAUUAAUGAUUUUUUUGAGACUCUUCUUGUAACCUUGUGUUUGUCAUGCAUGCAGUUAAGAAAUUACUUUUUCCCUAACAUUACUAGUAAGAGUGAGAUUUUACUGUGUUCUUGUUUAGACAUAAUGUGUAUUUAUCAAUUGUAGUGAUAUAUGGAUAUGCGAGUAUCCAGGUAAUUUAUCAUAUUGUCCAUCACUGUAAUGCUGAGAUUUUUGUAGGUAUCACUUCAAGAGAGGAAAGUUUCUCUUACGAGUGUUUUCCCUUGGCAUUAUGCAAGCAUCCAGUUACCUUUGAUAGGCCCUGAAAUGAUGAAAGAGACGAAGGGAAUUUGCAGGUGUACAGGUAGAAUGAGACAUUUAGGAAACACAUUUUCAACAGUAUAUUUUUUAGGUUCAUUUGAAGAGGUCACAGUGAGCCUAUCAGUAAUAGUUAACAGGGGUCAUUGCUCGUAUGGAUGUGCAUGAUAAUGUGGGCCUAAAACACAGCCCAGCCCAUCUGAUCUUCCCUUAUAUAGGUAAGUGGUGGUGUCCCUAACACUUCUGUUACUAUGAUUUUGUUGUAGCUGUUCAAGUAAGAAAUGAUAGAGCUCUUACCAAUUUAAAAAAACAUUAUUUUUCUCACUUUUUAUAUUUUAGAAUAACUUUAUGAUUAACCUCUGAGUUUUGAGUGAUAGUGCCUAUCCUGGUUAUUGGUGUUUCUUACCACAGCAGUAACCAGGGGAUUUUUACAGGUGUCCUGUCAAGAAAUGACCGUCUUACCUGACAGUGGUAUUGAUCUUGCAUUAUUACAAGUAUCCAGGUAGAGUUUAUGUGUUCUGUAAUGAUGGAGUGACGAAGGUUAUUUUCAGAUGUCUUGGUGGAAAUGUUUGUGUCCUUUAACACAUAUUUCACAAUGUGUAUUUCAGGUUUCUGUAGUGAGACCCUGAUAAACCUAACAAUGGUUGGUAUGGCAGACAUUUCUGGUAUGCAGGCAAGUGAUGAUGUGUUCUUUAACCACAUCAUAGACCAUCAGAUCUUCUUAUAUCUUUUUUUUUUUUUUUUUUGACAGAGUCUCGCUUUGUCACCCAGGCUGGAGUGCAGUGGGGUGAUCUCGGCUCACUGCAGCCUCCACCUCCCAGGUUCAAGCGAUUCUCGUGCCUCUGCAUCCUGAAUAGCUGGGAUUACAGGUGUGCACCACCACAUCCUGCUGAUUUUUGUAUUUUGAGAGAUGGGGUUUUGGCACGUUGGCCAAGCUGGUCUCGAACUCCUGGCUUCAAGCAGUCCACCCACCUUGGCCUCCCAAAGUGCUGGAAUUACAGGCGUGCACCACCACGCCCGGCCAGAUCUUCAUAUAUCUAAGAUCCUGUCAAGAAGACAUGGUAAACCUCAUCAUGAUCAAGAAUGAGACUUUGCUUGCAUCCAGGUAAGUAAUGACGUGGGCCUUAAGCAAGCACUCAGAAAACAAUCUGAUCAUCAGAUCUAUAAUUAAGUGUGGAUGGUGCUUCUAACUUUUGUGUUACCAUGGUUUUUUUGCAGGCAUUCAGUUAAGAAAUGAUGUUUUCCCAACCAAGGCUAGUAAGCAUUAGCCCUUAUUAUUUUACAGUUUAGAUAUAAUGUGUAGUAUCUAACCAAGCUGGGCAUAGUUGCAUGUGCCUAUAGUAUGAGCUACUCUGGAGGCUGAGGCGGGAGGAUCACUUGAGCCCAGGAGGUUGAGGCUGAAGUGAGCUGUGAUCACACCACUGCACUCCAACUUGGGUAACAGGACAAAACCCUGUCUCUUAAAAAAAUAAAAGAGAUAUAAUGUGUGUUUAACAUUAGUCUCUAAGGAGGGCUAUGCCGGUAUCCAGGUGAGUUAUCCUACUCUUCCACAUUAUAGUAUGAACAAUGAGAUUUCUAAGUCAAGCGAUGAUGGUAUCUCUAACAUUAGUGUUGAUCUCAAAGUUCUACUAAGAUCGAGGUAGUGUUGGUGGUUCCUCUAAUGAGGAAAAUGACUGAUACAAGUUGCAGGUGCCCCGUCCUUUUUUGCAGGUAAAACAGCGUGUUUCAUUAAACACAUUCAUCAUUGAAUGUGUUUCUUCAGGUACCCAUAGUCAUGAAAUCAUAGUGAACCUAACAGUGGUCAUUUAUGUGUUCUUGGUAGUAACCAGGUCAGUGAUAAAUUGGGUCUUACCACACUACAGACCACCUGUUCUUCAGAUUUUUAGGUAAGCAAGUAUGGUCCCUCUAACACAGUGUUACUGUGUUUGUCUUUUUCAGGCUUCCCAAAAGUUGUUUGAUAGUAUACAGGCAUGAGAUGGUGUGACUCUAACUCAUUAGAUGCCUUCGUCUUUUCAGUCAUCAUGUGAUGGAAAGAAAGCUAUCAACUUCAUUCCUGAGACUUCCUGCAACACAGGUUCAACAAAGUGUGGACAGCUGUGCAGAAAUAUGAUUGGACAAAAAUGUUGUGAUCUAAAGCUAAUGGACUGAGUGUGGAAACCCAACAAGGCCUGUCUGUCUAGAUUCUUCUUGGCCUCUCUGAGCAGCGUUCCUUCCUUCUGGGUGUAAGGCAAGACCCUCUCUGGAGUGGGGGUGUUAUGACCUACAGUCAAACAAGGUAUGUCAGGGAAUUUCGUUAUGGCCAGUAUUUACACAGAAAGCUGGGAGGGAAAGUUAGAGUAAUGUUUUUAGGUUUUAUGGCUGGCUUUGGGGAACAAGGUUUCUGGUUUCUAGAACCUGCCUUGGGGAAGGAUUCUAGCUUCUGUUGCUCCUCUGGGGAGAAUGGGACUGAGACAGGAGGGCAGGGGAAGGUCAGAGAACAACAUUUGCUUCUAAACCUGCUUCUGGAGCUUUUUUUGGGGGGUAUUGUUAUCCGAGUCCCCACAAUAGCCUCCAGAAUAGCCUUCUUAAAACUGAAAUCUGUUCUUGCGCCACUGCUCUCCAGCCCAGCCUGGGCGACAGAGCGAGACUCCGUCUCAAAAAAAAAAAAAAAAAAAAAAAAACUGAAAUCUUUUCAUAUUAUUUUCCUGCUUACCACUCUUGUAUGGCUGCCCAUUCUCAAAGGUUUUUAGACAUAUUUUUGUCUUGACAGAAUAUAGAUGAAAUUCAUCAGAGCAACACAAUUCUAUAUACGUAGUCAGAUUUUCAUGAAACUCUAAUUUUUUUUUUCAGAGAAAUAAAGUUCAUCACAGUGAGUCAAGAUGCCUCAUUCCAAGCUAUGGUGUAAAUUUCAUAGACUAAGAAAUGUGCAAGUUUCCUUUUUGCUAAGUAUGACACAUCACCUCUCUCUCACAAAGGGAUAUAUGUUGUUACUAAUGUAAACUCAUUAGUUUUGAUCAAUGUUUUGUGAACUCAAAAGUAUCUGAGACAGCUCUCAAUCAAUUUAGAAAGUUUAUUUUGUGAAGGUUAAGGACAUGCCCGUGACACAGCCUCAGGAGGUCCAGAUUACAUGUGCACAAGGUGGUCAGGGUACAGCUUGCCUUUAUACAUUUUAGGGAGACAUAAUACAUCAGUCAAUACAUGUAAGGUUUACAUUGUUUCGAUCUGGAAGGGUGGGGCAACUCGAAGCAGGAGUCGGGCUUCCAGGUCAUAGGUAGAUUUAAACAUUUUCUGAUUGGCAAUUGGUUGAAAGAGUUAUUAUCAGUAGAAAGAAUUGUUUGGGUUAUGAUAAGUGGUUGUGGAGGCCAAGGUUUUAUCAUGCAGAUGAAGCCUCCAGGUAGCAGGCUUCAGAGAAAUAGACUGUAAAUGUGUUUUUAUUGGACUUAAGGUCUGUGUUGAUAUUAAUGCUGGAGGGGUAUAAUGAGGCUUGUCCAACCCCCUCCUCCAUCAUGGCCUGAACUAGUUUUUCAGGUUAACUCUGGAAUGCCCUUGGCCAAAAGGAGGGGUUCAUUUAGAUGGUUGAGGGGCUUUAGAAUUUUAUUUUUGGUUCACAGGAUCAUGGUUAUAUAAGAUGUUAACAUUAGGAGAUGCUGGGUAAAAGGUAUAUGGGAACCUUCUGUACUGCCUUUGCAACUCUUCUAUAAAUCUAAAAUAAUUUCAAAAUGUUACUAUUAACUAUACUCGAGGUUAUUUAUGUCUAUUUUAUCUGAAUAAUGGGAAUAUCAUCUAAUGGUGUGCUAAUACCUCUUUCCCCAACUCCACAUUCAGUGAUGGCUAGUUGGUGGUUUCACAUCAGACAAUGUGGGAGUAUUUACACCCUGGCAAGUGGUACGUGCAAUAAACAUUUAUCAGCAUACUGAGGCAGCCAGAUGUGACUUUCUCUGCCUGAAUAUGAAAAGGUAUCAAUACAUAUGGGUUGCCAAAAGUGCAAGGGAGAAGAGAAGACAGCAACUGUGAAAACAAGCUCCCCUCUUUCUCUGUAAAGGCUGCAAAUCUGCUUAUGAGUGUUUCAGAGUCACUGGGCAACCCAGGUCACAGGCAUAUAGCAGAGAUCACUAUGCUGCUCCGGGCCCCUAGGAAGGCAGGGUGUGGAGCCUAUCAUUUCAGAUUCUGAAAACUUUGAGGGAUGCGAGAAGAGACUAUGGAAGCCAAACAGGAAUCUUCUCAUAAUUUUAGCCAUGAUGAGUAUAUUGAGAAACAUUCAAAAUAUUUAAAAUUUGGCAUCAGGAGUCAGGGCCUAUCAGUUCUACAUAGCAUCUACAAGCAUAACAUUUUCCAUCAUGGUUUUCUGUCUGUUAAAAGUCAUGUUAUUAUUCUGUGCCAAAAUCAUUCAAUUUAGUAUAUGAAGAAAAAAGGAAUACUUCCGGGGACCACACACCCAACAGAGUGGGAUGCUGAAAAGAUUCACCAUCCAGAUCUUUCAUAGUAGAGGUGAUCAGCAUUGAGGG
rnacentral:lncRNA from 1 species